rnacentral:rRNA from 1 species
AGAGUUUGAUCAUGGCUCAGGACGAACGCUGGCGGCAGGCUUAACACAUGCAAGUCGAACGCUCUCUUCGGAGAGAGUGGCAGACGGGUGAGUAACGCGUGGGAAUCUACCCAGUACUACGGAACAACAGUUAGAAAUGACUGCUAAUACCGUAUACGCCCUCCGGGGGAAAGAUUUAUCGGUAUUGGAUGAGCCCGCGUUUGAUUAGCUAGUUGGUGAGGUAACGGCUCACCAAGGCGACGAUCAAUAGCUGGUCUGAGAGGACGAUCAGCCACACUGGGACUGAGACACGGCCCAGACUCCUACGGGAGGCAGCAGUGGGGAAUAUUGGACAAUGGGCGCAAGCCUGAUCCAGCCAUGCCGCGUGUGUGAUGAAGGCCCUAGGGUUGUAAAGCACUUUCAACGGUGAAGAUAAUGACGGUAACCGUAGAAGAAGCUCCGGCUAACUUCGUGCCAGCAGCCGCGGUAAUACGAAGGGAGCCAGCGUUGUUCGGAAUUACUGGGCGUAAAGCGCGCGUAGGCGGGCUAUUAAGUUAGAGGUGAAAUCCCGGGGCUCAACCCCGGAACUGCCUUUGAUACUGGUAGUCUAGAGAUCGAGAGAGGUGAGUGGAAUUCCGAGUGUAGAGGUGAAAUUCGUAGAUAUUCGGAGGAACACCAGUGGCGAAGGCGGCUCACUGGCUCGAUACUGACGCUGAGGUGCGAAAGUGUGGGGAGCAAACAGGAUUAGAUACCCUGGUAGUCCACACCGUAAACGAUGGAUGCUAGCCGUUGGGCAGUUUACUGUUCAGUGGCGCAGCUAACGCAUUAAGCAUCCCGCCUGGGGAGUACGGUCGCAAGAUUAAAACUCAAAGGAAUUGACGGGGGCCC